rnacentral:misc_RNA from 1 species
UUUCCGUAGGUGAACCUGCGGAAGGAUCAUUAUUGUAUAACCAAGGAUCGAGAGCUGUCGCUGACCAGAAAGGUCGUGCACGCCCAACUGCCCUCACACCCAUCCAUCUCACCCCUAUGUGCACCACCGCCUGGGUCCCCCUUUGGCUUGUUCGGAGGGGGGCUCCCUUUUCCACACAAACUUUGUAUGCAGUGUAGAAUGUAUUUUUUGUUUUUGCGAUCACGCUAUCUAUACAACUUUCAACAACGGAUCUCUUGGCUCUC